rnacentral:rRNA from 1 species
AGUGAACGCUGGCGGUAGGCCUAACACAUGCAAGUCGAACGGCAGCACAGUAAGAGCUUGCUCUUACGGGUGGCGAGUGGCGGACGGGUGAGGAAUACAUCGGAAUCUACUUUUUCGUGGGGGAUAACGUAGGGAAACUUACGCUAAUACCGCAUACGACCUACGGGUGAAAGCAGGGGAUCUUCGGACCUUGCGCGAUUGAAUGAGCCGAUGUCGGAUUAGCUAGUUGGCGGGGUAAAGUCCCACCAAGGCGACGAUCCGUAGCUGGUCUGAGAGGAUGAUCAGCCACACUGGAACUGAGACACGGUCCAGACUCCUACGGGAGGCAGCAGUGGGGAAUAUUGGACAAUGGGCGCAAGCCUGAUCCAGCCAUACCGCGUGGGUGAAGAAGGCCUUCGGGUGGUAAAGCCCUUUUGUUGGGAAAGAAAAGCAGCAGGUUAAUACCCCGCUGUUCUGACGGUACCCAAAGAAUAAGCACCGGCUAACUUCGU